AUCUCAAUAGCACAGUGGUUAGCGCACAGCCCCGGAUAGGUUUGAGACGCGGGUUCGAAUCCCGCCUGAGAUG
rnacentral:tRNA from 1 species